GAUCAUUAAUGAAAUNGUUUGUCGUAGAAGGGUUGUAGCUGGCCCCCAAGGGCACGUGCACACCUGGAUCGCAUCCACCUCCAACACCUGUGCACAACCUGUAGCUUGGGAUGAUCACGGGGCCCUUGUCGGCCGCGAAUGCCCCUGUCUACGAAUAUUUUUACACACACAACUAGUCACAGGGAAUGCACACACGAAGCGUCUAACAAACGCGACAAAUACAACUUUCAACAACGGAUCUCUUGGCUCUCGCAUCGAUGAAGAACGCAGCGAAAUGCGAUAAGUAAUGUGAAUUGCAGAAUUCAGUGAAUCAUCGAAUCUUUGAACGCACCUUGCGCUCCUUGGUAUUCCGAGGAGCAUGCCUGUUUGAGUGUCAUGAAAUUCUCAACUGCCUCAAGUUCUUGUGGCGAGGUUGGACUUGGAGGACAUUGCUGGCGCAUGCUCCGUGCAUGCUUGUCGGCUCCUCUUGAAUGCAUGAGCUUUCCAAUCCUUGGCAAAGUAUCGUCGAUGUGAUAGUUAUCAGCGUCGUCCGAGAAAAGCGUGUAAGGGGAAAUCUACGAUCGCAUCGGCCCUUUGGGGUUCCGUGUCUGAAAAAUUCGACCUCAAAUCAGGUAGG
rnacentral:rRNA from 1 species